rnacentral:rRNA from 1 species
AUACGGAGGGUCCGAGCGUUAAUCGGAAUUACUGGGCGUAAAGCGCGCGUAGGUGGAUGUAUAAGUCAGAUGUGAAAGCCCUGGGCUCAACCUAGGAACUGCAUUUGAAACUGUACGUCUAGAGUAUGGUAGAGGUGAGUGGAAUUUCAGGUGUAGCGGUGAAAUGCGUAGAGAUCUGAAGGAACAUCAGUGGCGAAGGCGACUCACUGGGCCAUUCCUGACACUGAGGUGCGAAAGCGUGGGGAGCAAACAGGAUUAGAUACCCUAGUAGUCC